rnacentral:rRNA from 1 species
CAGUCGAGGGGUAUAGGUUUUCGGACCUAGAGACCGGCGCACGGGUGCGUAACGCGUAUGCAAUCUACCUUUUACAGAGGGAUAGCCCAGAGAAAUUUGGAUUAAUACCUCAUAGUAUUAUUGAAUGGCAUCAUUUAAUAAUUAAAGUCACAACGGUAAAAGAUGAGCAUGCGUCCCAUUAGCUUGUUGGUAAGGUAACGGCUUACCAAGGCAACGAUGGGUAGGGGUCCUGAGAGGGAGAUCCCCCACACUGGUACUGAGACACGGACCAGACUCCUACGGGAGGCAGCAGUGAGGAAUAUUGGUCAAUGGGCGCAAGCCUGAACCAGCCAUGCCGCGUGCAGGAUGAAGCAUCUAUGGUGUGUAAACUGCUUUUGUACGAGAAGAAACACUCCUACGUGUAGGAGCUUGACGGUAUCGUAAGAAUAAGGACCGGCUAACUCCGUGCCAGCAGCCGCGGUAAUACGGAGGGUCCAAGCGUUAUCCGGAAUCAUUGGGUUUAAAGGGUCCGUAGGCGGUUUUGUAAGUCAGUGGUGAAAGCCCAUCGCUCAACGGUGGAACGGCCAUUGAUACUGCAAGACUUGAAUUAUUGGGAAGUAACUAGAAUAUGUAGUGUAGCGGUGAAAUGCUUAGAGAUUACAUGGAAUACCAAUUGCGAAGGCAGGUUACUACCAAUAUAUUGACGCUGAUGGACGAAAGCGUGGGGAGCGAACAGGAUUAGAUACCCUGGUAGUCCACGCCGUAAACGAUGGAUACUAGCUGUUCGGAGCAAUCUGAGUGGCUAAGCGAAAGUGAUAAGUAUCCCACCUGGGGAGUACGUUCGCAAGAAUGAAACUCAAAG